ACACCAACACAUACCAAGCUCUCUCUACUCUCUCAAGAUGUAGCUCUAGUAGUAGUUAGUCUUGGUGGGAGCUCUGCUAGGAGUCUGGAGUAGUCUUCAAGAGUCUGAAUUAUCUACAUGAGCAUAAGAAAUAUCAACAGAAAGCAGGCCCUAAAAGAUACCAAACCUAUAGUUGACUCGAAAGCAAUGUCUUUGGAAAAUGAAAGCGCACUACAGACGGUGCACGUAAGAAGAGGUGGAAGAAAAUGUCAAUCCUAUGGGAGCUAUCUUACUGGAAAGACUUAGAGGUCCACCACAACAUCGAUGUCAUUCACGUGAAAAAGAAUGUUUGUGGGAGUUUGCUUGGGACACUCAUGAGUGAUAGAUGGAAAACCAAGGACCAUGCAAAAGCACGAGCUAACCUUGAAGAAUUGGACAUAAGGCCCGAGCUCUAUCCUGACAGUACCAGUGCCCAACCACCUUUAUCCAGAAUAUAUUGCCAGAAAAAACCCGAAUGGCAAUCAUGAACCUCUACUUAUUUAAUGUAAUCUCUCAGAAGGUCCUUGAUGAAGGAUCACUGGAUGAUCAUGAAAUGAACAUGUGUGAGAUGAUGUGUCUUCCCGAGCUUACUUCUCGCUGACUUUCUUUGACAUAUCCAUCCUAUAUUUGGUUAAGGAGAUCAGGUUUCUUGCACCGAUGUUCCUCCACCACAUGUAUCUGUACGAGAGAUUUAUGAGUACUCUGAAUAUCCAAACAAAAGAAGACUUUUGAUAAUCAGAGUACAAACCCCUUUGUUCAGUUGUGUGCUAACAAACUUAGAGAGUGAUCUCUACCCUUUUGCUCUUGUGUUUUCCUUCGUGGAGAUUACAGAAGCGACCGCAUCAUCGCCACCCAAUCAGUGCUCCUGAUCCAUUGAUUCUAGGUUGCGUAGGUUGGUUCUUUGAGAGUGUGAUUGGGUGAAUCCUUGGUUCAGGCUGCUAUAUAGACAUAGUGAUUGGCUCCUUGUGCAUGUACUCAAGUUGCACUAGUUGUCGCUGCUUGCAGCAAGUUAUUGGUUCUUCUUUAGCUAGUUAUAAACAUCAGAAUCCUAUGUCUGUAUUUUAGCGUACUUAUUGUACUCAUCAACAUCAUCCAUGACAUCAACUCUGAUAAUACUUUGUUUCCC